UACAGAGGUGGCAAGCGUUGUUCGGAUUUACUGGGCGUAAAGGGCGCGUAGGCGGCGUGUUAAGUCAGCUGUGAAAUCUCCAAGCUUAACUUGGAACGGUCAGCUGAUACUGAUGUGCUAGAGUGCAGAAGGGGCAACCGGAAUUCUUGGUGUAGCGGUGAAAUGCGUAGAUAUCAAGAGGAACACCUGAGGUGAAGACGGGUUGCUGGGCUGACACUGACGCUGAGGCGCGAAAGCUAGGGUAGCAAACGGG
rnacentral:rRNA from 1 species